rnacentral:rRNA from 1 species
GACGAACGCUGGCGGCGUGCUUAACACAUGCAAGUCGAGCGGUAAGGCCUUUCGGGGUACACGAGCGGCGAACGGGUGCGUAACACGUGGGUGAUCUGCCCUGCACUUCGGGAUAAGCCUGGGAAACUGGGUCUAAUACCGGAUAUGACCUCCUAUCGCAUGGUGGGUGGUGGAAAGAUUUAUCGGUGCAGGAUGGGCCCGCGGCCUAUUAGCUUGUUGGUGGGGUAAUGGCCUACCAAGGCGACGACGGGUAGCCGACCUGAGAGGGUGACCGGCCACACUGGGACUGAGACACGGCCAAGACUCCUACGGGAGGAAGCAGUGGGGAAUAUUGCACAAUGGGCGAAAGCCUGAUGCAGCGACGCCGCGUGAGGGAUGACGGCCUUCGGGUUGUAAACCUCUUUCAGCAGGGACGAAGCGCAAGUGACGGUACCUGCAGAAGAGGCACCGGCUAACUACGUG